GAUGACUUGGGUCCAAGCCCAUCAUGGACCCACAAGGAGAAGGGGUAAAACUGUCCAAAUGAAGAAUAAAGUUGCUUGGCGCCACCCCUCAUUCUACUAAGCACACCGUGUCAUUUCUUUCACAUUUAGGCACAUGUAGAACGUGUAGCUUAGGAGUUUNUGGCAUNUUAUGCAUUUGCUGCACAUUUUCAAUGCUUGGACACGUGGGUUGUGAUCCACUUCAUANGGGAUUCAUCUCCACCGCAUACAGCUAGGAGGAUUUACUAUAAAUCCAUCAUAGCACUCUUGUAUAAACACUUUUGGAAUAUUAUGAGAUUUUCUUCUGCUGAUGCAUUUUCCAGCAACUAAAUCUCUGCACCAAGAGUCUCCUCCUGAGCUUUCCCGAUUCCAACUAGCUUCCUUCCGGUGGAAGGCUGCCUGAGCUAGAUCUCACCAUCACCGAGAGCUCCUCUGCCAUC
rnacentral:lncRNA from 1 species